CCUACGUGAGGCAGCAGUGGGGAAUAUUGCGCAAUGGGCGAAAGCCUGACGCAGCGACGCCGCUUGAGGGAUGAAGGUCUUCGGAUCGUAAACCUCUGUCAGCAGGGAAGAACGGUCACUGUGCUAAUCAGCAGUGAAUUGACGGUACCUGCAACGGAAGCACCGGCUAACUCCGUGCCAGCAGCCGCGGUAAUACGGAGGGUGCGAGCGUUAAUCGGAAUUACUGGGCGUAAAGCGCUCGUAGGCGGUAUGUCAAGUCAAGGGUGAAAUCCCCGCGCUCAACGUGGGAACUGCCUUUGAAACUGGCAAACUGGAGUGUGUGAGAGGAUAGUGGAAUUACAGGUGUAGGAGUGAAAUCCGUAGAUAUCUGGAGGAACAUCAGUGGCGAAGGCGACUAUCUGGCACAUAACUGACGCUGAGGAGCGAAAGCGUGGGUAGCAAACAGGAUUAGAUACCCGGGUAGUC
rnacentral:rRNA from 1 species